AGCGGCAGACGGGUGAGUAACGCGUGGGAAUCUACCUUAAGCUACGGGAUAACAGAGAGAAAUUUCUGCUAAUACCGUAUGUGGCCUAUGGGCGAAAGAUUUAUCGGCUUAAGGUGAGCCCGCGUUGGAUUAGCUAGUUGGUGGGGUAAAGGCCUACCAAGGCGACGAUCCAUAGCUGGUCUGAGAGGAUGAUCAGCCACACUGGGACUGAGACACGGCCCAGACUCCUACGGGAGGCAGCAGUGGGGAAUAUUGGACAAUGGGCGGAAGCCUGAUCCAGCCAUGCCGCGUGAGUGAAGAAGGCCUUAGGGUUGUAAAGCUCUUUCACCGGUGAAGAUAAUGACGGUAACCGGAGAAGAAGCCCCGGCUAACUUCGUGCCAGCAGCCGCGGUAAUACGAAGGGGGCUAGCGUUGUUCGGAUUUACUGGGCGUAAAGCGCGCGUAGGCGGAUAGAUAAGUCAGAGGUGAAAUCCCGGGGCUCAACCCCGGAAUUGCCUUUGAUACUGUUUAUCUUGAGUGCAGAAGAGGUAAGUGGAAUUCCGAGUGUAGAGGUGAAAUUCGUAGAUAUUCGGAGGAACACCAGUGGCGAAGGCGGCUUACUGGUCUGCAACUGACGCUGAGGCGCGAAAGCGUGGGGGGCAAACAGGAUUAGAUACCCUGGUAGUCCACGCCGUAAACGAUGGAAGCCAGCCGUUGGCAGAUUUAUCUGUCGGUGGCGCAGCUAACGCAUUAAGCUUCCCGCCUGGGGAGUACGGUCGCAAGAUUAAAACUCAAAGGAAUUGACGGGGGGCCCGCACAAGCGGUGGAGCAUGUG
rnacentral:rRNA from 2 species